AGCGUGGGGAGCGAACAGGAUUAGAUACCCUGGUAGUCCACGCCGUAAACGUUGGGCGCUAGGUGUGGGGCUCAUUCCACGAGUUCCGUGCCGCAGCUAACGCAUUAAGCGCCCCGCCUGGGGAGUACGGCCGCAAGGCUAAAACUCAAAGGAAUUGACGGGGGCCCGCACAAGCGGCGGAGCAUGUUGCUUAAUUCGAUGCAACGCGAAGAACCUUACCUAGGCUUGACAUGCGCGGAAAUCCUCCAGAGAUGGUGGGUCCGUAAGGGCCGUGCACAGGUGGUGCAUGGUUGUCGUCAGCUCGUGUCGUGAGAUGUUGGGUUAAGUCCCGCAACGAGCGCAACCCUCGUUCCAUGUUGCCAGCGGGUUAUGCCGGGGACUCAUGGGAGACUGCCGGGGUCAACUCGGAGGAAGGUGGGGAUGACGUCAAAUCAUCAUGCCCCUUAUGUCUAGGGCUGCAAACAUGCUACAAUGGCCGGUACAAAGGGCUGCGAUACCGUGAGGUGGAGCGAAUCCCAAAAAGCCGGUCUCAGUUCGGAUUGGGGUCUGCAACUCGACCCCAUGAAGUUGGAGUCGCUAGUAAUCGCAGAUCAGCAACGCUGCGGUGAUACG
rnacentral:rRNA from 1 species